rnacentral:rRNA from 1 species
CACGUAGGGCGCAAGCGUUGUCCGGAAUUAUUGGGCGUAAAGAGCUCGUAGGCGGUCUGUUGCGUCCGCUGUGAAAACUCGGGGCUUAACCCCGAGCCUGCAGUGGAUACGGGCAGACUAGAGGUAGGUAGGGGAGAAUGGAAUUCCCGGUGUAGCGGUGAAAUGCGCAGAUAUCAAGAGGAACACCAGUGGCGAAGGCGAGUCCCUGGACAACACCUGACACUGAGGCACGAAAGCCGGGGGAGCAAACAGG